rnacentral:rRNA from 1 species
AGUGAACGCUGGCGGUAGGCCUAACACAUGCAAGUCGAACGGAAGCACAGUAAGAGCUUGCUCUUACGGGUGGCGAGUGGCGGACGGGUGAGGAAUACAUCGGAAUCUACUUUUUCGUGGGGGAUAACGUAGGGAAAAUUACGCUAAUACCGCAUACGACCUACGGGUGAAAGCAGGGGAUCUUCCGACCUUGCGCGAUUGAAUGAGCCGAUGUCGGAUUAGCUAGUUGGCGGGGUAAAGGCCCACCAAGGCGACGAUCCGUAGCUGGUCUGAGAGGAUGAUCAGCCACACUGGAACUGAGACACGGUCCAGACUCCUACGGGAGGCAGCAGUGGGGAAUAUUGGACAAUGGGCGCAAGCCUGAUCCAGCCAUACCGCGUGGGUGAAGAAGGCCUUCGGGUUGUAAAGCCCUUUUGUUGGGAAAGAAAAGCAGCAGGUUAAUACCCCGCUGUUCUGACGGUACCCAAAGAAUAAGCACCGGCUAACUUCGUG